rnacentral:misc_RNA from 1 species
GAUGAAGAACGUAGCGAAAUGCGAUACGUAAUGUGAAUUGCAGAAUUCAGUGAAUCAUCGAAUCUUUGAACGCAUAUUGCGCUCUCUGGUAUUCCGGAGAGCAUGCUUGUUUGAGUAUCAGUAAACACCUCAACUUCCAUAUCUUUUUUGAAAUGGGAGUUGGACUUGAGUGAUCCCAACGCUUUUCCUCACCGAAAAGUGGCGGGUUACUUGAAAUGCAGGUGCAGCUUGACUUUUCUCUGAGCUAUAAGCAUAUCUAUUUAGUCUGCCUAAAAAACAGAUUAUUACCUUUGCUGCAGCUAACAUAAAGGAGAUUAGUUCUUGUGCUGACUGAUGCAGGAUUCACAAAGACAGGCUUCGGCCGACUUUGUAAACUCGAUCUCAAAUCAAGUAAGACUACCCGCUGAACUUAAGCAUAUCAAUAAGCGGAGGA